rfam:Brachypodium distachyon strain Bd21 chromosome 3, whole genome shotgun sequence.
CAGAUUCUCCCUCCGUCCAACAAAGGAUGUCUCAAUUUUGACCAAAUUUAAAUGCAUCUAUACACUAAGUCAUGUAUAGAUACAUCCAAAUUUUGACAAACUUGAGACAUCUUUUGUUAGACGCAGGGAAUAUUUC